CAAAAAGUUUAUAGUAACGCUGGUAUAGCUGACGACCCAAGUCGAAAAGUUCGAGACGACCACGGCUGGAAAGUUGAUCGGCAUUUUCUGCAUCUAUUACAGGAGUCCACUGCUUAAUAAAACAUAAGGGAUUCUCGGGGUAGCUGAAGUUUACGGGUAUUGAGCCGUUUAAAAGCUUUUCCUGAAAAUUAUUUAAAUAUUGUGAACUAUAUACAUCAGUGGCAGUUACAUCGCCCGUUGGGUUUCUGGAACCGUGACGUUGAAGAAGAUGAACUUGUUGGAUCUCACAGGUUUCAGGGAAAGCAGAAUCAAGACCAUCAAAGUAGGGCUCAUGAUAAGGACUUAAUGUUCCGAGAUGUUCCUUGAAGAAAAAAUUGCUUUCAUAAUCCUCAAACUGAACAUUAUCGGCAUUGACGAUGAACGCAGCUAAGAACCAGAGAGAAAUGAUACACAACUGCAUCACGAAAAUAUAUCAGCCAAACGAGUAAAAGGCCUUCUUAAUUAUUCGAUUAGUAAAGCAGAGCUUUUGAGGAAGAAAAAUUAAAGGAUCAAAGUAAGAAAUUGAUUAAAACGAGUGACAGUCCAUUCAACCAACAAACUGCUGGUCAAUUGAGGUUAGGAGCGACUUUGAAGGAUUAAUUGAAAGGUAACCAUUAAAAGAUACAACGUAAUGGUCCUAUACGUGUAAUUCGUGUAUCUGCCAACAAAAGCUGGUAGCUUCCACUAAAUUGAAAUCUGCUGCCGAUGCCGUUCCAGUGAAAACGUAAAACAU